rnacentral:rRNA from 1 species
UAUGAAGGGGGCUAGCGUUGCUCGGGAUCACUGGGCGUAAAGGGCGCGUAGGCGGCGUUUUUAAGUCGGGGGUGAAAGCCUGUGGCUCAACCACAGAAUGGCCUCGAUACUGGGACGCUUGAGUAUGGUAGAGGUUGGUGGAACUGCGAGUGUAGAGGUGAAAUUCGUAGAUAUUCGCAAGAACACCGGUGGCGAAGGCGGCCAACUGGACCAUUACUGACGCUGAGGCGCGAAAGCGUGGGGAGCAAACAGG